rnacentral:rRNA from 1 species
AUGAACGCUAGCGACAGGCUUAACACAUGCAAGUCGAGGGGCAGCGGGGGUAGCAAUACCCGCCGGCGACCGGCGCACGGGUGAGUAACGCGUAUGCAACUUGCCUAUCAGAGGGGGAUAACCCGGCGAAAGUCGGACUAAUACCGCAUAAAGCAGGGGCCCCGCAUGGGGAUAUUUGCUAAAGAUUCAUCGCUGAUAGAUAGGCAUGCGUUCCAUUAGGCAGUUGGCGGGGUAACGGCCCACCAAACCGACGAUGGAUAGGGGUUCUGAGAGGAAGGUCCCCCACAUUGGUACUGAGACACGGACCAAACUCCUACGGGAGGCAGCAGUGAGGAAUAUUGGUCAAUGGGCGUAAGCCUGAACCAGCCAAGUCGCGUGAGGGAUGAAGGUUCUAUGGAUCGUAAACCUCUUUUAUAAGGGAAUAAAGUGCGGGACGUGUCCCGUUUUGUAUGUACCUUAUGAAUAAGGAUCGGCUAACUCCGUGCCAGCAGCCGCGGUAAUACGGAGGAUCCGAGCGUUAUCCGGAUUUAUUGGGUUUAAAGGGUGCGUAGGCGGCCUUUUAAGUCAGCGGUGAAAGUCUGUGGCUCAACCAUAGAAUUGCCGUUGAAACUGGGGGGCUUGAGUAUGUUUGAGGCAGGCGGAAUGCGUGGUGUAGCGGUGAAAUGCUUAGAUAUCACGCAGAACCCCGAUUGCGAAGGCAGCCUGCCAAGCCAUGACUGACGCUGAUGCACGAAAGCGUGGGGAUCAAACAGGAUUAGAUACCCUGGUAGUCCACGCAGUAAACGAUGAUCACUAGCUGUUUGCGAUACAGUGUAAGCGGCACAGCGAAAGCGUUAAGUGAUCCACCUGGGGAGUACGCCGGCAACGGUGAAACUCAAAGGAAUUGACGGGGGCCCGCACAAGCGGAGGAACAUGUGGUUUAAUUCGAUGAUACGCGAGGAACCUUACCCGGGUUUGAACGCAUUUCGACCGCUCUGGAAACAGAGCCUCUAGCAAUAGCGAUUUGCGAGGUGCUGCAUGGUUGUCGUCAGCUCGUGCCGUGAGGUGUCGGCUUAAGUGCCAUAACGAGCGCAACCCUUGCCACUAGUUACUAACAGGUGAUGCUGAGGACUCUGGUGGGACUGCCAGCGUAAGCUGCGAGGAAGGCGGGGAUGACGUCAAAUCAGCACGGCCCUUACAUCCGGGGCGACACACGUGUUACAAUGGCGUGGACAAAGGGAAGCCACCUGGCGACAGGGAGCGAAUCCCCAAACCACGUCUCAGUUCGGAUCGGAGUCUGCAACCCGACUCCGUGAAGCUGGAUUCGCUAGUAAUCGCGCAUCAGCCAUGGCGCGGUGAAUACGUUCCCGGGCCUUGUACACACCGCCCGUCAAGCCAUGGGAGCCGGGGGUACCUGAAGUCCGUAACCGCGAGGAUCGGCCUAGGGUAAAACUGGUGACUGGGGCU